rnacentral:rRNA from 1 species
GGUUAACUAGAUGCUUAUAAAAUAAAAUAUCACGAAUUAGUUUGAGCUAAAUAUUGAUGAAUUUAAGAUUCAAAUAUUAAAUGUAGUAAAAUUUUCGAUUGAGCAAUAUUUAGGGGUGAAAUGCCAACAAAAACUAAGAUAACUUGAUACCCUUUAAAAAUAUUUAGUAUGUUUACAGAUGCGUAGUGGCCAGGCUUCGCAUAAAUAUUAAUAAUUAUGUAAUAUCUAAGUAGGAGUUUAACAACUAAUUUGCUUUGGAACAUAAUAUCAAAAUAUUUAUAAUUAUAUUUAUUAAAGGCUUGUAAAGCAACUUUAGAAUUCAUUAAUAAUGUUACCAUAAGUAUUUUUGAAGCUCUCUGUAAAGAACUCGGCAACAACUUUCUCAACUGUUUAUCAAAAACAUAACUGUAGGGGUUUUAUCUAUAGCUUUUUCUGCUCAGUGAUACUUUAAACAGCCGCAGUACCCUGACUGUGCAAAGGUAGCAUAAUCAAUUGACUCAUAAUUGGAGCCCGGAAUGAAUGAAAGAAUGGGAAGGUGCUGUUUCGUAGAGAUAAGUAGAAAUUAAUUAUCAAGUGAAAAUGCUUGAAGAAAAAUAAUAGACGAGAAGACCCUAGAAAUUUUUAUGAAGAAUAAAACUAAAAUUUUUGUUGGGGCGACAGAAUAACAUAUAAAACUUAUUUAAGGAAAUUUGAAAUUUUUGAAUUGAUUAAUUAAAUUACUCUAGGGAUAACAGCAUAAUAUUUAAAAGUUUGUGACCUCGAUGUUGGACUAGGGAACCUAAGUUUAGAAGGCUAAUUUUGGUGCUCUGUUC